UGGAACACCGGAAGCAAGUAGUGAAGUGGAGCCAAGUAAAUUCGUACGUCGUCGAUGAGAUUAAUAUUUUAUUUUUGGACAUUUCCUGAAAAAUGUCAUCAACGCCGAUCCAUAACUAUUUAAUUUAUGUUGCUAACUAACAUUUUUGGUGGCGUUCGAGUGUUUCCAAGGCAGCGCGUCACGGCACACCGAGCAGGUCAUUCAUUUUCUACCGCUUGUCCCUCUGCUUGCUGACAUCCUGCUCAGAAGUCUCCUCCCCACAAAGCGUCACCCGGAAAAGAUCAUCAGUGUGUGAGAAGGAAGCGGAAGUAAGGAAGCAAGGAACAAUGGCCUCCGCUCUCUGGUCACCAAGCAACGCAGGAAGUGAUCAGUGAUCAGCCAAUCAGAUGACAGGAAUGGCCUCUGCGUGCGCCUUCGCCAUCUCGCCGUUCCCUACGGAGAUGUUUGAGAUGAUGUCUGGACGCCGACGGGAAGGGGAAGUGACUGGCGUCACGUUGAACUGUUUACAGUCGGGUCUGGCUUUUAUUUUGCCUCGUCCUUCACUUAAAGUGAAGAAUGCACGGUAACAUCCAUGCCACCUGCAAGAUGAACCUGCAUGUAAGUAUUUAUAUUUAUUGUGAUAAUGUUGAGUGUUUAACUGCAUUAUUUCACAUGCACUUUGAGUUGCAAAAAGAAAGCAAGCAAGAGAAGGAAGGAAGGGAAGAUGAAAGAGUACAAAAAAAGUGUGUAAAACAUGAAAAUGACCUUGAGGAGCGGCUCAUUAAAAGUGUUGGCGGGCUCGGGCUAAUUAGUGAGAUCCCGCUCCCAGUUAGCACGGUCAGCCACAGCAGGAGGUCUUGUUUGUGUGGGGCUUACAGCUGCACGCCGCUAACUCCAUUAGCCUGCUAGCAUGCUAACAUCAUUUGUCUGGCAGGGCAAUUACUGCACCUUGUUUGGACUUCCUGCCAACCACGUAACCAUGACAACACAAAGGCCUUCAGGUUAUUGUCACACCUUGAUUAUUCUCACCUCUGGACAACCUUGAAGUACUUUAUGUUUUGUUUUUCAUGGUUAAAAAAAGACUAGACAAAGUACACCCCAAUAUAUUAUAGGGACGGCGUGGCCGUGCGCAACCCGGGGGUCCCUGGUUCAAAUCCCACCUAGUACCAACCUCGUCACGUCCGUUGUGUCCUGAGCAAGACACUUCACCCUUGCUCCUGAUGGGUGCUGGUUGGCGCCUUGCAUGGCAGCUCCCUCCAUCAGUGUGUGAAUGUGUGUGUGAAUGUGGAAGUAGUGUCAAAGCGCUUUGAGUACCUUGAAGGUAGAAAAGCGCUAUACAAGUACAACCCAUUUAUUUAUUUUAUCAAUAUCUAAACAAACUUAAUACAAGUCACAAUUCCAGUAGUAAAUAUAUCAUAUAUACAUUUAUAU